AGAGUUUGAUCCUGGCUCAGAACGAACGCUGGCGGCGUGCUUAACACAUGCAAGUCGAACGUGAUCCAGAGCUUGCUCUGGUGAAAGUGGCGCACGGGUGAGUAACGCGUGGAUAACCUGCCCUGGUAUCUGGGAUAACAUCUCGAAAGGGGUGCUAAUACCGGAUAAGCCUACGGACUCCUCGGAGUCUGCAGGAAAAGGAGGCCUCUAUUUAUAAGCUUCCGUAUCAUGAUGGGUCCGCGUACCAUUAGCUAGUUGGUGGGGUAAUGGCCUACCAAGGCGACGAUGGUUAGCUGGUCUGAGAGGAUGAUCAGCCACACUGGAACUGAGACACGGUCCAGACUCCUACGGGAGGCAGCAGUGGGGAAUUUUGCGCAAUGGGGGAAACCCUGACGCAGCAACGCCGCGUGAGUGAUGAAGGCUUUCGGGUCGUAAAGCUCUGUCAGAGGGGAAGAAAUGAAACGUGCUAAUAUCACGUUUUCUUGACGGUACCCUCAAAGGAAGCACCGGCUAACUCCGUGCCAGCAGCCGCGGUAA
rnacentral:rRNA from 1 species